UAUAGAUGGAUCCGCGCUGCAUUAGCUAGUUGGUAAGGUAACGGCUUACCAAGGCAACGAUGCAUAGCCGACCUGAGAGGGUGAUCGGCCACACUGGAACUGAGACACGGUCCAGACUCCUACGGGAGGCAGCAGUAGGGAAUCUUCCGCAAUGGGCGAAAGCCUGACGGAGCAACGCCGCGUGAGUGAUGAAGGUCUUCGGAUCGUAAAACUCUGUUAUUAGGGAAGAACAUAUGUGUAAGUAACUGUGCACAUCUUGACGGUACCUAAUCAGAAAGCCACGGCUAACUACGUGCCAGCAGCCGCGGUAAUACGUAGGUGGCAAGCGUUAUCCGGAAUUAUUGGGCGUAAAGCGCGCGUAGGCGGUUUUUUAAGUCUGAUGUGAAAGCCCACGGCUCAACCGUGGAGGGUCAUUGGAAACUGGAAAACUUGAGUGCAGAAGAGGAAAGUGGAAUUCCAUGUGUAGCGGUGAAAUGCGCAGAGAUAUGGAGGAACACCA
rnacentral:rRNA from 1 species